UACGGGGGGGGCAAGCGUUGUUCGGAUUACUGGGCGUAAAGGGCGCGUAGGCGGUCGUGACAAGUCACUUGUGAAAUCUCCGGGCUUAACUCGGAACGGUCAAGUGAUACUGUCGGACUAGAGUACAGAAGGGGGCAACUGGAAUUCUCGGUGUAGCGGUGAAAUGCGCAGAUAUCGGGAGGAACACCUAUGGCGAAGGCAGCUCGCUGGGACGUUACUGACGCUGAGACGCGAAAGCGUGGGGAGCAAACAGG
rnacentral:rRNA from 1 species